CCUACGGGUGGCUGCAGUGGGGAAUAUUGGACAAUGGGCGCAAGCCUGAUCCAGCCAUGCCGCGUGAGUGAUGAAGGCCUUCGGGUUGUAAAGCUCUUUCAGAUGGGACGAUGAUGACGGUACCAUCAGAAGAAGCCCCGGCUAACUUCGUGCCAGCAGCCGCGGUAAUACGAAGGGGGCUAGCGUUGUUCGGAAUUACUGGGCGUAAAGCGCGCGUAGGCGGCUUUGUCAGUCAGGGGUGAAAUCCCGGGGCUUAACCUCGGAACUGCCCUUGA
rnacentral:rRNA from 1 species